AAAAGAAGAACACACAGGAGAUUCGCGUAACAAUCUAAGUAUGGGGGCCGCAAUGCUUGUUUUUUUUUAUUGUUUUUUUUUUUUUUU
rnacentral:ribozyme from 1 species